GGGAUCUUGUCUCAUUCUCUGCUGCAUCCUCAGCAGGGGGUAGGGUGCCUGGGACAUUGAGGUAUUCACCAACAGCUGUCAGGUCACCUGCCUGUCUCCUUGGAAAGUUAGCUCCAUGCAGGUUCAGCCUGGGCUGCCCUGCCUACCAUUGCCUCCCCAGUGCCCUCAUGGUGUACUCCAUGGAAGGUACCAGAGCUUAGAGCAAAGCCUAGCGCACAGGGCAUGCGAUGGUGAAUGAAUGGAUGAACAAACAAGAGCAUCAAUUUUGGGAUUAGACUGCCUGGGUUCACAUCCUCACCAGCUCUGACCCUUGGGCAAAUUAUUUAACCUAUCUGGGCCUCAGUUUCCUCAUCGAUAAAAUGGGGAUGAUCGUAGUGCCUACCUCAUGGGGUGGUUAUGUGGAUUAAAUGGUUUCAGGGAGUAUUCAAUAUCUGCAAGUGUGUAACAUACGAAUAUCACGUGAGAUUUUUGGGCAUAACUGAGCAAAUCCCAGCUCUUGAUGGGGUCUCAGGAGCAGUGGUGCAAAGAGCAGUGGGAACGGUAUUCCUGGCGGAGGGAACAGCAUCCACAGGAUGUUUUGGAGGGGGUCGGGUAAGAGGGGAUGUUUUGGGGGGGCAGGUAAGAGGGGAUGUUUUGGGGGGGAGUAAGAGGGGAGGGGAGAGAGAUGGACUGGCAGUGCCAGGGAGUGGCCGUCGGGCUGAACAUCCACAGAAACCAGACACGAAGAGGAGGCAAGCCAGGCCAGGGGGAAGCAUAAAGAGGAAGUGAACCAAAGCAGGGAGCGAGGACUGGUUUCACAAGACACUCAGUGUGAGGCUUCGAGAAGGCCAUGGAGAAGGUCAGCCUUGAAAAAGCUGGAACUUGGCUUUGCUGUUCAAUGUCUCCUGGUGCAUGGAAGAGUGCCUGGC
rnacentral:lncRNA from 1 species